rnacentral:lncRNA from 1 species
UCAACUAGAAGAUAAAUGGCAGUAGAAAAAUAUUGUACUCCCUCUGCCACCCUCGAUAAACACUUUAAAAAUACUGUCAGCAUCAAAAAAUCCAUCCAUCCAUGUCCAACAACUAGACCAAAAUAGCCCCAUCUUAAGCUCCUUAUCUGAUCGAACUAAAACUUAUUUUGCAUCUCCUGUCACAUGGUGAGGCCAAAAACAAUAUCCACAUCUAUGUAACAAACAAAAAACUGAUCAAAUAGAACAAAAGGGAACCAAUCACCAAACCAGAACCGCUUUUCCUUCAAAAAUGGUGAAGAACCACACAAAGAUCCAUCUGAAAUGGAAGUGCAUAAACAAUAAGCAAGGGGAAAGCCCAGGAAGAAGACAAUGACAGUAGAAAAAUAUUAUACUCCCUCUACAAUGCUUCACGUCCAACAACCAGACCAAGAUAGCCCCACCUUAAGCUCCGACUUUGGUAGAAUCAAAACUUAUUUUGUAUCUCCUGUCAAAGGGUGGGACCAAAAACAAUAUACACAUGUACGUAACAAACAAAAAAUAGAUUAAACAGAGCAAAAGGGAACCAAGCACCAAACCAGAACCGCCUUCCCACGAGAACUGGUUAAUUAGAACCCAAAGAUCAAACAUUUGAAGAUUAAAGAGCAUAACAAUAAGCAAAGGGAAAAAGUUCACCUAGAAGAUAAAUCACAAUAGAAAAAUAAUAUACUCCUGUUGACACCCACCAUAAACACUAUACCAAUGGCAGCAUCCAAGAUUGGUCCAUAUCCAAAUAACCAGACCAAGAUAGCCUCACCUUAAAUACCUAACUUUGAUGGAAUCAAAACCAAUUUUGUAUCUCCUGACACAGGGUGAGGCAGAAAACAAGGUCCAAGUCUACGUAACAAAAUAAAACUAUAAUAGAGAGCAAAGAUAACCAAGGAUCAAACCAGAACAGUCUUCCACAGAAGCCUGAUUAAGAAACACACAACGAUCCGGCAUCUGGAAAUUGAAAAGAAUAACGAUAAGCAAGGGAAAGUUUAGGUAGAAUAUAAAAUUUAGUAAAAAAGUUACAAUACUAUACUCCCUAUGCAACCCUUGAUAAACACUAUAUCAAUGACAGCGUCAAAGGUUGCUCCGUGUCCAACAAUCAGACCAAGAUUGCACCACCAUAAGCUCCUACUUUGAUAGAAUCAAAACUUAAUUUAUAUUUUGUGUCAUAGGGUGAUGCAGAAAACAAUAUCCACGCCAACGUAACAAACAAAAAACUGAUGAAAGAGAAAAAAGAUAACAAAGCAUCAAACCGAACAGCCUUCCAAUUAAGAACCACAACGAUCAGAAAUCUGAAAAUUGAAGAGUAUAACGACAAGCACCGGAAACUCUAGGUAGAAGAGAAAAUAUAGUAGAAGAAAAUGUAGUAUAACAAUCUGCAUCCCUCAAUAAACAUUAUAUCAAUUGACAUCUUAUAUUAGUCCGCAUCCAACAACCCCACCAAGUUGGCCCCCACCUUAAGCUCCCACUUUGAUAGAAUAAAACUGAAUUUGUAUCUCCUGUCACAGGGUGAGGGCGAAAAAAAUAUCAAAGUCUACGUAACAAAAAAAAAAAAACUAUAAUAGAGAACACAGACAACCAAGCGUCAAACAAGAACUGCCUUUCAGAGAAGCUUGAUUAAGAACAAAACAGCAACCAAAGAUUUGUCCAUGUCCAAAAACCAGACCAAGAUAGCCCCCACCUUAAGCUCCUACUUUGAUAGAAUCAAAACCUAUUUUGUAUCUCCUGUCACAGGGUGAGGCUGAAAACAACAUCCAAGUCUACAUAACAGCAAAAGAACUAUAAUUGAGAGAGCAAAGAUAACCAAUUAUCAAACCCGAACUGCCUUCCAGUUAAACUUGAUUAAGAACCACAUAAUGAACAGGCAUCUGGAAAUGGAAGAGAGACUAACAAUAACCACAGGAAAGUCUAGAUGGAAGAUAAAUUGUAGUAGAAAAAAAUACUAUAUUAUACUCCCUCUGCCAUCCUCGAUAAACACUAUAAUUGACAGCGUCAAAGGUUGAUCUGUGGCCAAUAUAACUAAACCAAGAUUAGCCCCACCUUGAGCUCCUACUUUGAUAAAAUCAAAACAAAAUUUUUAUCAUCUGCCAUAGGAUGAGGCAGAAAUACAAUAUACACGUAUACGUAACAAACAAAAAAACUGAUGAUAGAGAGAAAAGAUAAACCCAGCAUCAAACCAGAAGUGCCUUCAAGUAAAGAACACCUGGAAAUUGAAGAGUAUAACGAUAAGUAUAGGAAACUCAAGGUAAAAGAGAAAACGUAAAAAAAAAAAAAAUAACUAUACUGUACACCAUCUGCCACCCUCGACAAACACUAUAUCAAUGAUGGCAUCAUAGAUUAGUCCAUAUCCAAAAACCAGACCAAGAUAACCCCCACCUUAAGCUUCAACUUUGAUAGAAUCAAAACCUAUUUUGUCUCCUGGCACAGGGUGAGGACCAAAACAUUGUCCAAGUCUACAUAACAAAUAAACAAUAAUUACAGAGCAAAGGUGACCAAUUAGCAAACCAGAACAGCCUUCCCGUGAAGCUUGAUUAAAAACCACACAGCGAUCAGGCAUCUGGAAAUUGAUGAGAACAACGGUAAGCAUGGGAAAGUCUAGGUAGAAGAUAAAAGAUAGUAAAAAAAAAAAAAACUAUUCUAUACUCUCUUUGCCAGGCCCACACCACUAUAUCAAUGACAGCAUCAAAGGUAGAUCCGUGUUCAAUAACCAGGCCAACAUUAGCCACACCAUAAGCUCCUUCUUUCAAAACUUAAUUUUUAUCUCCUAUCAUAGGGUGAGGCAGAGAACAAUAUCCACGUCUACAUAACAACAAAAAAUUGUUGAAACUGACAAAAGAUAACCAAGAAAACAAGAAGUGCCAUCCAUUAUGGAAAUUGAAGAGUAUAACUAUAAACACGGGAAACUCUAGGUAGAAGAGAAAAUGUAGUAGAAAAAAAAAAUACUAUUAUGUAUUUCCUUUGCGACCCUCGAUUUACAAUAUACCAAUGAUAACAUCAAAGAUCUGUCCGCGUCCAAAAACCAGACCAAGAUAGCCCCCACAUUAAGCUCCUACAGUGAUGGAAUCAAAACCUAUUUUGUAUCUCCUGUCACAGGGUAGGCCCAAAACAAUAUCCAAGUCUAUAUAACAACAAAAGAAAUAUAAUAGAGAGAUCAAAUGCAACCAAUUAUGAACCCAGAACUGCCUUCCAGUUAAGCUUGAUUAAGAACCACACAACGAUCAGGCAUCUGGAAAUUGAAGAGAAUAACAAUAAGCACGGGAAAGUCAAGAUGGAAGAUAAAUUGUAGCAGAAUUAAUACAAUACUAUACUCCCUCUGACACCCUCGAUAAACAUUAUAUCAGUGACAGCAUCAAAAGUUGAUAUGUCUCCAAUAACUAGACCAAGAUUAGCCCCACCAUAAGCUGCUUCUUUCACAACUUAAUUUUUAACCCCUGUCACAAGGUGAGGCAGAAAACAAUAUCCACGUCUACGUAACAAAUAAAAGAUUGUUGAAACUGACAAAAGAUAACCAAGCAUACCAGAAGUGCCUUCCAGUUAAGAACCACACAACAAUCAGACAUCUGGAAAUUGAAGAGUAUAACUAUUAGCACGGGAAACUCUAGGUAGAAGAGAAAAUGUAGUAGAAAAAAAAUACUAUUAUGUACUCCAUGUACUCCCUUUACCACCCACAUUAAACUAUAUCAAUGACAGCAUGAAGGAUUUGUCAGUGUACCAAAAACCAGACCAAGACACGCCCCCACCUUAAGCUCCUACUUUGAUAGAAUCAGAACCUAUUUUGUAUCUCCUAUCACAGGGUGAGGCUGAAACCAACAUCGAGUCUAAAUAACAACAAAAGAACUACAAUAGAGAGAGCAAAGGUAACCAACUAUCAAACCCGAACUGCCGUCCAGUAAGCUUGAUUAAGAACCACACAACGAUCGGGCAUCUGGAAAUGGAAGAGAAUAACGAUAAGCACCGGAAGGUCUAGAUGGAAGAUAAAUUGUAUUAGAAGAAAUACUAUACUAACUCCCUCUGCCACCCUCGAAAAACAUAUCAUGACCAUCAAAGGAUUGAUUGUGUGCAAUAACUGACUAAGAUUAGCCCUACCUUAAGCCCUACUUUGAUAAAAUUAAAACUUAAUUUUUAUCUCAUGUCAUAGGGUGGGGCAGAAAACAAUAUCACGUCUAUGUACAAACAAAAAUUGUUGAAAUGACAAAAGAUAACCAAACAUCAAACCAGAAGUGUCAUCCAGUUAAGAACCACCCCACGAUCAGACAUCUGGAAAUUGAAGAGUAUAUCUAUAAGCACGGGAAACUCUAGGUAGAAGAGAAAAUGUAUAGAAAUAAAAAUACUAUUAUGUACUCCCUUUGCCACCCUCGAUUAACACAAUAUCAAUGACUCAUCAAAGAUCUGUCCGCGUCCAAAAACCAGACCAAGAUAGCCCCCACAUUAAGCUCCUACAGUGAUGGAAUCAAAACCUAUUUUGUAUCUCCUGUCACAGGGUAGGCCCAAAACAAUAUCCAAGUCUAUAUAACAACAAAAGAAUAUAAUAGAGAGAUCAAAUGCAACCAAUUAUGAACCCAGAACUGCCUUCCAGUUAAGCUUGAUUAAGAACCAAACAACGAUCAGGCAUCUGGAAAUCGAAGAGAAUAACAAUAAGCACGGGAAAGUCAAGAUGGAAGAUAAAUUGUAGCAGAAUUAAUACAAUACUAUACUCCCUCUGACACCCUCGAUAAACAUUAUAUCAGUGACAGCAUCAAAAGUUGAUGUCUCCAGUAACUAGACCAAGAUUAGCCCCACCAUAAGCUGCUUCUUUCACAACUUAAUUUUUAACUCCUGUCACAAGGUGAGGCAGAAAACAAUAUCCACGUCUACGUAACAAAUAAAAGAUUGUUGAAACUGACAAAAGAUAACCAAGCAUACCAGAAGUGCCUUCCAGUUAAGAACCACACAACAAUCAGACAUCUGGAAAUUGAAGAGUAUAACUAUUAGCACGGGAAACUCUAGGUAGAAGAGAAAAUGUAGGUAGAAAAAAAAUACUAUUAGUACUCCCUUUACCACCCACUAUUAACACUAUAUCAAUGACAGCAUGAAGGAUUUGUCAGUGUCCAAAAACCAGACCAAGACAGCCCCCACCUUAAGCUCCUACUUGAUAGAAUCAGAACCUAUUUUGUAUCUCCUAUCACAGGGUGAGGCUGAAACCAACAUCCGAGUCUAAAUAACAACAAAAGAACUACAAUAGAGAGAGCAAAGGUAACCAACUAUCAAACCCGAACUGCCGUCCAGUUAAGCUUGAUUAAGAACCACACAACGAUCGGGCAUCUGGAAAUGAAGAGAAUAACGAUAAGCACCGGAAGGUCUAGAUGGAAGAUAAAUUGUAUAGAAGAAAUACUAUACUAUACUCCCUCUGCCACCCUCGAUAAACACACUAUAUAGUGACCACGUCAAAGGAUUGACUUGUGUGCAAUAACUUGACUAAGAUUAGCCCUACCUUAAGCUCCUACUUGAUAAAAUUAAAACUUAAUUUUUAUCUCAUGUCAUAGGGUGGGGCAGAAAACAAUAUCCACGUCUAUGUAGCAAACAAAAUUGUUGAACUGACAAAAGAUAACCAAACAUCAAACAGAAGUGUCUCCAGUUAAGAACCACCCCACGAUCAGACAUCUGGAAAUUGAAGAGUAUAUCUAUAAGCACGGGAAACUCGAGGUAGAAGAGAAAAUGUAGUAGAAUAAAAAUACUAUUAUGUACUCCCUUUGCCACCCUCGAUUAACACAAUAUCAAUGACUACAUCAAAGAUCUGUCGCGUCCAAAAACCAGACCAAGAUAGCCCCCACAUUAAGCUCCUACAGUGAUGGAAUCAAAACCUAUUUUGUAUCUCCUGUCACAGGGUAGGCUCAAAACAAUAUCCAAGUCUAUAUAACAACAAAAGAAAUAUAAUAGAGAGAUCAAAUGCAACCAAUUAUGAACCCAGAACUGCCUUCCAGUUAAGCUUGAUUAAGAACCAAACAACGAUCAGGCAUCUGGAAAUCGAAGAGAAUAACAAUAAGCACGGGAAAGUCAAGAUGGAAGAUAAAUUGUAGCAGAAUUAAUACAAUACUAUACUCCCUCUGACACCCUCGAUAAACAUUAUAUCAGUGACAGCAUCAAAAGUUGAUAGUCUCCAUAACUAGACCAAGAUUAGCCCCACCAUAAGUGCUUCUUUCACAACUUAAUUUUUAACCCCUGUCACAAGGUGAGGCAGAAAACAAUAUCCACGUCUACGUAACAAAUAAAAGAUUGUUGAAACUGACAAAAGAUAACCAAGCAUACCAGAAGUGCCUUCCAGUUAAGAACCACACAACAUCAGACAUCUGGAAAUUGAAGAGUAUAUCUAUAGCACGGGAAAUUCUAGGUAGAAGAGAAAAUGUAGUAGAAAAAAAAUACUAUUAUGUACUCCCUUUCCACCCCGAUUAAACAUAUCAAUGACCAUAAGAUUGUCGGUCCAAAAACCAGACCAAGACAGCCCCCACCUUAAGCUCCUACUUUGAUAGAAUCAGAACCUAUUUUGUAUCUCCUAUCACAGGGUGAGGCUGAAACCAACAUCGAGUCUAAAUAACAACAAAAGAACUACAAUAGAGAAAGCAAAGGUAACCAACUAUCAAACCCGAACUGCCGUCCAGUUAAGCUUGAUUAAGAACCACACAACGAUCGGGCAUCUGGAAAUGGAAGAGAAUAACGAUAAGCACCGGAAGGUCUAGAUGGAAGAUAAAUUGUAUUAGAAGAAAUACUAUCUAUACUCCCUCUGCCACCCUCGAUAAACACACUAUAUCAGUGACCACGUCAAAGGAUUGACUUGUGUGCAAUAACUUGACUAAGAUUAGCCCUACUUAAGCUCCUACUUUGAUAAAAUUAAAACUUAAUUUUUAUCUCAUGUCAUAGGGUGGGGCAGAAAACAAUAUCCACGUCUAUGUACAAACAAAAUUGUUGAAAUGACAAAAGAUAAC